rnacentral:tRNA from 1 species
AAUUAAGUCUUAUAUUCAAAAUUGAUUUUAAAUUGCAAAUUUAAAGGUAAAGUUUAAACUUUUAAGGCUU